GGAAUCUUCCACAAUGGACGAAAGUACUGAUGGAGCAACGCCGCGUGAGUGAAGAAGGGUUUCGGCUCGUAAAACUCUGUUGUUAAAGAAGAACAUAUCUGAGAGUAACUGUUCAGGUAUUGACGGUAUUUAACCAGAAAGCCACGGCUAACUGCGUGCCAG
rnacentral:rRNA from 1 species